rnacentral:rRNA from 1 species
UACGAAGGGGGCUAGCGUUGUUCGGAAUUACUGGGCGUAAAGGGCUCGUAGGCGGCCAACUAAGUCAGACGUGAAAUCCCUCGGCUUAACCGGGGAACUGCGUCUGAUACUGGAUGGCUUGAGUUCGGGAGAGGGAUGCGGAAUUCCAGGUGUAGCGGUGAAAUGCGUAGAUAUCUGGAGGAACACCGGUGGCGAAGGCGGCAUCCUGGACCGACACUGACGCUGAGGAGCGAAAGCGUGGGGAGCGAACGAGG